GAUGAACGCUAGCUACAGGUCUUAACACAUGCAAGUCGAGGGGCAUCAGGAAGAAAGCUUGCUUUCUUUGCUGGCGACCGGCGCACGGGUGAGUAACACGUAUCCAACCUGCCCUUUACUCGGGGAUAGCCUUUCGAAAGAAAGAUUAAUACCCGAUAGUAUAAUGAUUCCGCAUGGUUUCAUUAUUAAAGGAUUCCGGUAAAGGAUGGGGAUGCGUUCCAUUAGGUUGUUGGUGAGGUAACGGCUCACCAAGCCUUCGAUGGAUAGGGGUUCUGAGAGGAAGGUCCCCCACAUUGGAACUGAGACACGGUCCAAACUCCUACGGGAGGCAGCAGUGAGGAAUAUUGGUCAAUGGGCGCUAGCCUGAACCAGCCAAGUAGCGUGAAGGAUGAAGGCUCUAUGGGUCGUAAACUUCUUUUAUAUAAGAAUAAAGUGCAGUAUGUAUACUGUUUUGUAUGUAUUAUAUGAAUAAGGAUCGGCUAACUCCGUGCCAGCAGCCGCGGUAAUACGGAGGAUCCGAGCGUUAUCCGGAUUUAUUGGGUUUAAAGGGAGCGUAGGUGGACUGGUAAGUCAGUUGUGAAAGUUUGCGGCUCAACCGUAAAAUUGCAGUUGAUACUGUCAGUCUUGAGUACAGUAGAGGUGGGCGGAAUUCGUGGUGUAGCGGUGAAAUGCUUAGAUAUCACGAAGAACUCCGAUUGCGAAGGCAGCUCACUGGACUGCAACUGACACUGAUGCUCGAAAGUGUGNGUAUCAAACAGG
rnacentral:rRNA from 1 species